AGUGAACGCUGGCGGUAGGCCUAACACAUGCAAGUCGAACGGCAGCACAGUAAGAGCUUGCUCUUACGGGUGGCGAGUGGCGGACGGGUGAGGAAUACAUCGGAAUCUACUUUUUCGUGGGGGAUAACGUAGGGAAACUUACGCUAAUACCGCAUACGACCUACGGGUGAAAGCAGGGGAUCUUCGGACCUUGCGCGAUUGAGUGAGCCGAUGUCGGAUUAGCUAGUUGGCGGGGUAAAGGCCCACCAAGGCGACGAUCCGUAGCUGGUCUGAGAGGAUGAUCCGGCACACUGGAACUGAGACACGGUACAGACUCCUACGGGAGGCAGCAGUGGGGAAUAUUGGACAAUGGGCGCAAGCCUGAUCCAGCCAUACCGCGUGGGUGAAGAAGGCCUUCGGGUUGUAAAGCCCUUUUGUUGGGAAAGAAAAGCAGCAGGUUAAUACCCCGCUGUUCUGACGGUACCCAAAGAAUAAGCACCGGCUAACUUCGUG
rnacentral:rRNA from 1 species